UCUUUCAAUAAUACCAUCUUACCUAUAC
rnacentral:sRNA from 1 species